rnacentral:rRNA from 1 species
GACAGAGGAUGCAAACGUUGCUCGGAAUUACUGGGCGUAAAGCGCAUGUAGGCGGCUUGGUAAGUCGGACGUGAAAGCCCGGGGCUCAACCCCGGAAGCGCGCUCGAUACUGCCGAACUUGGGUCCUGAAGAGGAGAGCGGAAUUCCCGGUGUAGAGGUGAAAUUCGUAGAUAUCGGGAGGAACACCAGUGGCGAAGGCGGCUCUCUGGGACGGUACUGACGCUGAGACGCGAAAGCGUGGGGAGCGAACAGG